UUGCAGACAAUUAAGCCGACCACGCUCUUUUCCCCAUGGGGGCCCGGUAUGCAAUGGCUGCAAACAGCAGCCUUCUCGGUAGUAUAUGCAGCUUGUUGCCUGUGUGGGUUGCCCUAAGGGGCCUUGGAGACAGCC
ensembl:snoRNA SNORA70 Small nucleolar RNA SNORA70